CCUCCCUUUUUGCCUGAAUGUAGUAACAGAUGCACAAGACCGAUCAGAACAUCUGAUGCACGACAGCCCUUCUCCACCUUCCACAUAUUCCUAGACGAGGCGUGGAAUUUCCCUCAAACGUCUUCUCAACGUUACUGCCUCUUCCAUCUCAACUCCAGAUUGGCGGAGGAUAACCAGCAUCUUCUGGUAAUGUCCAGAUGUAUCACCCAUGAUGUCUUUUUCCAGCUUGCCUCCGUGCUCUAGGCCACAUAAGACACAUGAGACGGGGUCUAUAGAUUGCUUACACCUUAAUGGUCUCAACUGACUCUAAUUGGAAAGGAUCGGUUUUAACAGCAAUGCCUUGUAGAAACUUUAUGAUCAGGGUAAAGUGAGUCUUCUCUCCUUUCAGAUAUCUGCUUAGAUGGCUUUCGUGCAUUUCCCCACUGUUCUCCAUAUGACCUGUUUGCUUGCAGGAGGCCGAUGACGCAGUGUUGAAGAGGGUAAAAUAUGAAGAGUUUGGUUCGAAAAUGAGAUAACUCCGUUUUUAAAAUGUUUCAAAAAUCAUGUUUUUUUAUUGUGCAUUCCAUUUAAUAUAAA